rnacentral:rRNA from 1 species
GAUGAACGCUGGCGGCGUGCUUAACACAUGCAAGUCGAACGGAAAGGCUCCUGCUUGCAGGGGUACUCGAGUGGCGAACGGGUGAGUAACACGUGGGUGAUCUGCCCUGCACUUCGGGAUAAGCCUGGGAAACUGGGUCUAAUACCGGAUAGGACCACAUUUUGGAUGGUGUGGUGGAAAGCUUUUCGGCUUGGGAUGAGCUCGCGGCCUAUCAGCUUGUUGGUGGUGUAAUGGCCUACCAAGGCGUCGACGGGUAGCCGGCCUGAGAGGGUGUACGGCCACAUUGGGACUGAGGUACGGCCCAGACGCCUACGGGAGGCAGCAGUGGGGAAUAUUGCACAAUGGGCGCGAGCCGGAUGCAGCGACGCCGGGUGGGGGAUGACGGCCUUCGGGUUGUAAACUCCUUUCGCUAGGGACGAAGCGCAAGUGACGGUACCUGGAGAAGAAGCACCGGCUAACUACGUG